GAUGAACGCUGGCGGCGUGCCUAAUACAUGCAAGUCGAGCGAACAGACGAGGAGCUUGCUCCUCUGACGUUAGCGGCGGACGGGUGAGUAACACGUGGAUAACCUACCUAUAAGACUGGGAUAACUUCGGGAAACCGGAGCUAAUACCGGAUAAUAUAUUGAACCGCAUGGUUCAAUAGUGAAAGACGGUUUUGCUGUCACUUAUAGAUGGAUCCGCGCCGCAUUAGCUAGUUGGUAAGGUAACGGCUUACCAAGGCAACGAUGCGUAGCCGACCUGAGAGGGUGAUCGGCAACACUGGAACUGAGACACGAUCCAGACUCCUAAGGGAGGCAGCAGUAGGGAAUCUUCCGCAAUGGGCGAAAGCUUGACGGAGCAACGCCGCGUGAGUGAUGAAGGUCUUCGGAUCGUAAAACUCUGUUAUUAGGGAAGAACAAAUGUGUAAGUAACUAUGCACGUCUUGACGGUACCUAAUCAGAAAGCCACGGCUAACUACGUG
rnacentral:rRNA from 1 species